CUGGGGCCCAGUUAUAGCUUUCAUUCUCUACCACCAUGGAUCUUCAUUCAUGCACCAACUGGGGAAGCACUAAGUUGACCAAUGACAGAGACUGGCUCAUGUCAGCUGGCCUAGUUAUUCUGUCUACUUAGUUGUAUAGUACAUCUUCCAUGGCGGAUGCUCUCUGAUGGGUAUCAGUGCAAAGAUCUUUGUACUUUACGCCCAUGCCCG
rnacentral:lncRNA from 1 species